rnacentral:lncRNA from 1 species
GGUGAAGCAGAAUUCCUGACUGGAAGCCUACACUGUCGUGGAUCUACUUAGAGAUGCAGCUAACUUUGACUCUUUCAGGCUCCAGUAUGCAACUGUUGCUGCUGGUGUCAAACCUGCUCUUGUGGGAAAACAUGGCCUCCAAACCAACUGUGCUUGUGUCCACUGAAGACCUGUAUCAUCGUUUGGUUGAACAGUCUCAUAAUACAUUUAUCAAGGCUGCAGAUGUAUACCGUGAAUUUGAUAUAAAUUUUGCCAAGAGAAGUUGGAUGAAAGACAGGAUACUUCCCCUGUGUCACACUGCUUCCAUCCACGUUCCAGAGAAUCGAGAGGAAGUUCAUGAAAUUAAAGUAGAUUUCCUCCCUCUUUUGUUUUGUUUUGCCACACAAAUAAUGUUCCAUAUGCACUAGUUUUGCUAGUUUUGCUAUAUAUGAUUACCAAGC